UCAAGCUUAUUUACAUUGGUGUAAGUAUUUAUUUACAAUAAUUAUAUGUUGUUCGAUUCAACUUUGUUUGAA
rnacentral:tRNA from 1 species